AUUGAACGCUGGCGGCAUGCCUUACACAUGCAAGUCGAACGGUAACGCGGGGCAACCCGGCGACGAGUGGCGAACGGGUGAGUAAUGUAUCGGAACGUGCCCAGUUGUGGGGGAUAACUGCUCGAAAGAGCAGCUAAUACCGCAUACGACCUGAGGGUGAAAGCGGGGGAUCGCAAGACCUCGCGCAAUUGGAGCGGCCGAUAUCAGAUUAGGUAGUUGGUGGGGUAAAGGCCUACCAAGCCGACGAUCUGUAGCUGGUCUGAGAGGGCGACCAGCCACACUGGGACUGAGACACGGCCCAGACUCCUACGGGAGGCAGCAGUGGGGAAUUUUGGACAAUUGGCGCAAGCCUGAUCCAGCCAUGCCGCGUGCGGGAAGAAGGCCUUCGGGUUGUAAACCGCUUUUGUCAGGGAAGAAAAGACUCCUGUUAAUACCGGGGGUUCAUGACGGUACCUGAAGAAUAAGCACCGGCUAACUACGUGCCAGCCGCCGCGGUAA
rnacentral:rRNA from 1 species